rnacentral:tRNA from 2 species
GGGGGUGUAGCUCAGUUGGUUAGAGCGCUUGCCUGUCACGCAAGAGGCCGCGGGUUCAAGUCCCGUCACUCCCGCCA